UUGUGAAGGGGCUUAAAUAUUUUAGAUUGUUCAUAUUGCUUUAAUAUCUACGGACUCCUUGUUAAAUAUCAUAGACAUUCUUUGUUCGAUACAAACAAACAAUAAGCACAAAAGAAAAUAGCAAAGCUUAAUUUAAUUUAUACUUUCAUACAAUAUUCACUUCUUUUUUUGAAUGAACAGUUUCGGGUGUUAAAAACUCUUUUAGUAUAAUCUGGCUGUUUGUCGACGAUCGCGUGCAAUCGUUGACCUAAUUCUGAUUUUAAAAAGUUCCGUACAUUUUCCCGCUCCGUUUGCGUUUCCGAUUGUCAAACUUUUUAGGGCGCCGAGUUGAAAUCAAAUAAAGUUUUUAAUAUUUUGUGAAAAUAUUUCCAGAUUUUGUUAGUGUUUAUUACUACUAGAAUACGCAAGCAGAAAUGGAGGGUUCGAGUAAAUCCACUGAAGAUAUACCCGAUCCAGAUUUCUUCAAUAAUAUUAAAGUUGCUAUUGAGAAAGAGCUCGAUAAGAUGAAGAAAAUUGUUAAUAAUAUCAACCAAAUGAGAGUGGAAGCUGCUUAUUUGGAAUCUGACUUGGUGCUGAUGAUUGAUGCGUCCACGUGGCAAGAUAUUUCCGAACUCAUUGGGAUUGGAACAUCCCCAAUGACUGAUGUUACAAUAAAAGAAGAAAAUAAAUAAAUUCAAA